rnacentral:tRNA from 1 species
GGUAAUUAGUUUAAUUAAAAUUUGUGAUUUCGACUCACUAGAACAUGGGCAUAACCAUGAUUACCA